UGGGGAAUUUUCCGCAAUGGGCGAAAGCCUGACGGAGCAAUGCCGCGUGGAGGUGGAAGGCCUACGGGUCGUCAAACACUGUUGUAAGAGAAGAAUGACAUUGAGAGUAACUGUUCAAUGUGUGACGGUAUCUUACCAGAAAGGAACGGCUAAAUACGUCCCAG
rnacentral:rRNA from 1 species